rnacentral:tRNA from 1 species
GACCUCGUAGCUCAGUUGGUAGAGCAUUGGACCAGUAUUCCAAAGGUCGCGUGUUCGAUUCCCACCGUACGUGGUCA